GAGCAUCGCCGGGACCGGAGCGGCCGCGGGUCCUGCACAGCCCCCCCUAUGAAGGGCGAGCCCCCCCCCAGCAGCACCCUGAGCGUGGGCCAGGCCCGGAAAAUGGUGGAGCAGCUGAAGAUCGAGGCCAGCCUGUGCCGGGUCAAGGUGUCCAAGGCUGCGGCGGAGCUGCUGAGCUACUGCGAGGCUCACGCCUGCGAGGACCCGCUACUCACGCCCGUGCCCACAUCUGAGAACCCCUUCCGCGAGAAGAAAUUCUUCUGCGCCCUCCUCUGAGCCCCCCAAAAUCCUGGGGGACAUCCCCAAAAAUUAUGAGUUCCCCCCCUCACAUUUCGGGCCACCUCCGUAAAAUUUCGGGCCGAUUUCACCCCAAAAAUGAGGCAGAAAUGAGGGGGAGGGUGGGGGUAAUUUGGGAGUUUUGGGGUCCACCCCACAGCUGGUACCUCCCCCCUAAAUUCGGGACCCCUUAAAAAAGCGCUGGGGUGGUCCCAGCUCAAAAUUUGGGGGGUUUCGGGUGGGUUUUGGGGGCAUUUUGGGGGUUCCCCCACCCCAAAAGGCUUCAAAGGAUGGACUCAGGGAAGGUUCUGGAAAUGCCCCCCAAAAAUCACCCCAAAAUUCCCCCUCCCCCAUCACUCUCCACCUCAAAAUGGGGACGCCCCCAAAAUUUUAGGACACGCCCAAAAGGUUAUCUCUCACCUCCCCCACCCCAAACUUCAGGGGUCUGCCUCCCUCACCCCAAUUGCGGCUCUAAGGGACCCCCAGGGGGGGAUAAAGGGGGGGUUCCCCAAAUUUUGGGGUGUCCCCCACCCACUCCCCAAAUAAACACUUGGCGGCACAGACGGGGCUGGGACUUUUUUGGGGAUCCCCCAAAAAAAAGGGAUUUGAGGGGGAGGAAGGUGAAAAUUUGGGGUGGGGAAGGGGGUUCCCCAAAAUUAAGGUGGGUGGGGAGGGGAAUUUUGGAUGGGGUGGGGGGGGGGGAAAGAUUGGAAUUUGGGGUUGGGGGAGGAGGAAAAGGAGGAAAGGGAGGAAGAGGAAGGAGGAGAAGGGGGAAGAAAAAUGGGGAAGAGGAGGAAGAAAUGAGGAGGAAGAGGAAAAUGAAAAAGGGGAUCACACCCAAUAUGGUGGCGCCCACACCUUCCCAUGGGCGCCUCCAUGACAUCCGCGCAUGCGCACCACACCCCCGGCUGCCCCAAGAUGGCGCCUCCCAGUACCCAAAAUGGCGGCGCCCAAAUCCAGAAUGGCGCCUCCCAGCACCCAAAAUGGCGGCGCCCACAGCCAAGAUGGCGGCGCCAACAGCCCGCCCGUUGCCAUGGCAACCCAGAGCAGGCCUGAGGCCUCAGAGCAGGCCCGGCCUGCGCAGGAAGGGAAAAUAAAUCAAUUAAAUCUUUU
rnacentral:lncRNA from 1 species